rnacentral:rRNA from 1 species
UACGAGGGGGGCAAGCGUUGUUCGGAAUUAUUGGGCGUAAAGGGUGCGUAGGCGGCCAACUAAGUCAGACGUGAAAUCCCUCGGCUUAACCGGGGAACUGCGUCUGAUACUGGAUGGCUUGAGGUUGGGAGAGGGAUGCGGAAUUCCAGGUGUAGCGGUGAAAUGCGUAGAUAUCUGGAGGAACACCGGUGGCGAAGGCGGCAUCCUGGACCAAUUCUGACGCUGAGGAGCGAAAGCCAGGGGAGCAAACGGG